CAGUAGCCGCGGUAAAACGCAGGUGGCAAGCGUUGUCCGGAAUUAUUGGGCGUAAAGGGCUCGCAGGCGGUUUCUUAAGUCUGAUGUGAAAGCCCCCGGCUCAACCGGGGAGGGUCAUUGGAAACUGGGAAACUUGAGUGCAGAAGAGGAGAGUGGAAUUCCACGUGUAGCGGUGAAAUGCGUAGAGAUGUGGAGGAACACCAGUGGCGAAGGCGACUCUCUGGUCUGUAACUGACGCUGAGGAGUGAAAGCGUGGGGAGCGAACAGGAUUAGAUACCCCCGUAGUCCCUGUCUCUUAUAC
rnacentral:rRNA from 1 species